GGCUCUGUGGCGCAAUGGAUAGCGCAUUGGACUUCUAGUGACAAAAAAAAAAAAAGUCCUUUGAUAAAGGUCAAACUUCUUUCCAUAGCCA
rnacentral:tRNA from 1 species